UAAAAUUAUUAAAGAAAAUCCUCUCUUUAACUGGCGGCAGCUAUAGCAACUCAAAACCCUAAAAACCAGUUCUACGGUAAUCAAACAGAUAGCUUUUAAUACCGUAAAUCAUUAGUCCAUAAUCAGCAAGUAAUAAAAUAGUCGACGCGUGCAUUAAGAAAACCAAUAGUGAAUCCAUGAGAGCAGAACUAAUUUAUUGCUCAGAAAAAAGGCAAAACCGCUCCAAUUCCCAGCAACCCUUCUACACCAAAGCAAGACCUAGAAAUAAAAGAAAAUGGUAACCAUGUUAAUUUAUUGUAUCCACAUAUAAGAUUAAACAGUUAGGAAUGAAAGAUAAGAUGAAGAUUAAAGAGAUAGGAAUGAAAGAUAAGAUGAAAACUGAAGGAAAAUGAGUCAUUCGCCGAUUUAGAGGAAAGAGAAAAUAGCUCUCUCUCGAAGUUUCCCCUCGCACAUAGAGAAGUGAUCUAUUGACUCUUGAGGCUUCUCAAAACCCUUGAUUUUCUUUUCUCUUUUUCACUGGAUGGAAGAAGGCCCAACAGUAGCAUCAACAUUUUCAUUUUCUUAGAAAUCCCCAAAACUGCAAAACCUGUUUCUGCUGUCGCAAAGUGCACCGGCCUUCAUCAAAAUGAAUCAGGUAUGCAGAUCGUUCUGGAGCUAUCGGUGUUUAAGGUGCUGGUUAAGCAGAUCAUUACUUUGUUCAACUUUCUUCAUCACCACAAUAGCUGAAGACCAAAAGUAGAGGAAGGCUCAUCAAUCAUAAGGAGAGUCUGGUACUAUUGAAAAUGAGUUGGAAAGUAUGUUGUACAAUUUUAACCGUGAAAUGCUGCUUCAGAAAUAUUCAGUGAUUCAGCUGAAGGUUUUUCAAUAUGUUGAGCAUUUCACAGUUUACUGCAAUUGCAGUCAAGCUUUUGUACAUAACCCUACUGCAUCCACCAAGGUUUAGAAGUUGGAGAGAUGAUUCAAAACUUUAUCCUGUCAAAGAGCAAUUUGAAACACGGAAGAAGCAUUUCUUCUCAAGUUACCACGGUGCUUAUAUGUCUCUAGGCGUGGUUUCUAUCUUCUCUCUGUAUGUGAGGCUAGAGCUCCUUAAGUGGGAUUUGCUCCUUGAAGAGUCUGUCUCUUAUAAUAUGCAAUGGUAUACGACUAUACCUAUACUGCAUCCCGAUAUUGCGCAUUGCUGGGAUAUGCUCAGUACUAGAGGGACAAAAAAUGGAGUUCCCGCUACAACCUUGGUUAUAACUUAUGCCCAGCAACCACUGUGGCACUUCAGGAUUUGUUUACUGCUAGAAACUCUCGAGUCUCGAGAUUCUCGAAUACCUGAUGCUGUUGCCAAUCUUAGUGUUGCAACAUGGAGUACUGUUGUGAUAAAAGCUGUUCCUGAUGUCGCAUGAAUUGCCGCGUAUCGAUUUGGCAUGUCUGGUUGUUUGCUUAAAAACAUUUGUCCGUGGAACUGGAAGCAUAUUCUUGCUUAUCCAAUUCUAGAGCAGCUGGCUCUUGAUCAGCUCUUAAGUGGAAAAGUCCUGCGCAGUAUCACACCAAUAUUUGAUUAUGCGAUUAUGAGAACUGAGAGAAUAGUUGCAUCCUUGAACAAUGUGUGGACUGGUUUUCCAGUGUCGCAAUGAGUGCAGGUCAUUUUCCCACCUAAAUUAAGGAACAGAGGGGGCAUUGGUGUUGGUUUCUGAGUGUUGGAAAGGAUACUUUAAGGUAUUCGUCCCACUCAGAUGGUAUUUUCUCUCAACCUGGAGGUUGCGGUCGACUUAGAUUCUCCGUACUAGACCGUAAUGAUCGCUGAUUAUGUGAUGCAGUUUUUGAGCAUUUAAGGCCCCAAGAGGCUUUUAUAAGAUGUAAAUCGUGUUAAGGUUUGUAUCUCUUUUUUCCUCUAUAUUCAUUUCCUUAACGUUACAUUUAAUAAAGCUGUGAGAUUUUAAUUAGACAGCAAAUGCAGUACUCCAAGCUUUGUAUCUUCCUUAUUGCCUUAUUACCUUUCCCGUUAUCUUACUAGAUCAAAAGGUCCUUUAUAGGUGUUUGGGUUGAACUGACUCAUAGGAAAGGUGACCGCCAAAGAAAAGCCAUAGUAUCUCAGUCUACGAACCAGCUAAUGGGAGUUCACGUUGUCUUCUAUUGUUUAACUCCCAUUUAAAGAAUCAUUAUUAUGAAGUGUUUUCCUUUUCAUAACUUGGUCCAUUAUAGAAUAGAAACUUGUGGAACUCUAUCGGAUUUUAUUUUUUUGAUGGCAAAACUCUCCAUUGCUAUAAGAGUCUACUUGUUUCUUUGAGCUAUGGUUAUGAUGGAUUUUGGUGAGUACUUAUUACAAAUUGGCCUUUGGAUGUCGUCAAAAUUAUGGUUUCCACUUGUCAGGAGUUGUAUGUUUUGGCGGGGACUCUGUGUUUUAUUUUCAUAAGUGCACUCUUGCUGUGGAACCACUCUAUUAAAUUCCAACAUUGCCGCACUCAAAGGUGCUUCUAUUUCCAUCAUUUCAUCAGCAUUAUCAACUUCCUUUUUUCUAAAACAGCUUUGCAUGUUCCUCCUGAAGUUGCUGUCCUUGCUCUUUAAGUUCCUCCUGCAUAAGAACUGAAUUCAAAUUAUUUAUUAUUUUAUUUAAUACAACUUUCAUGAGUAAAAAUCCAACAGAACUGGAGAACAGAGAUGAGUAUAAUAAGAGUGCUAUUUGCUGCGUAUCGUUUGUUCGUUUGCUUAAGAACAUUUGUCUGUGGAAAGAUAUCCUUGCUUUUCAAAUUAUGGCGGAUCUGGGUGUUGAUCAGCUCCUAAGUGGAAAAGUCCUGCCUGAUGUGUGUAGUAUCUCACUAAUUAUUCAUGAUGCCAUUACGAGAACUGAGAGAGUAGUUGCAUCCUUGAACCGAUACGCGGUCCGGUUCCAGUGUCACAAACACAAUGGACCGCAGAUAUUUCUGCUACCAAAAUAGUUUUUGAGCAUUUGAGACCCUAGGAGGCCUUUAUCUGAUGUGGACCAUGUUAAGCAUAGAGCUCCUACAGUGGGAUCCGCUCCACUAAGAAUCUAACUUAUAUGAUAUGUAAUGGCACUCUCUUCUGUUUGUUUACGGAUUGCUGCCAGCACAUGGAGGCAUAUUUAACCGGGAUGAUGCUGAUGCCAAUUUUGUACCAGGACUAGUGGCAUCUCGAUGUUGCGGAUCGCUGGGAUAUUCCACCACAAACUUGGAUAUCACUUAUGUCCCAGCUGCCAGUGUGUUACUCCAGGGUUUGUCAUCUGCUAUACACACUCGAGAUACCGCUGCCAACCUUACUGCUGAAUAUGAAUUGAUAAGAGUGUUGCGUUUGGAAUGCUUAUUGGUAUUUUGGUUGGUAAUUCGAGCACAGUUUUCAGUAGCUUUCAUUGUGAGGAAACAGUGACAGUGAGAUGGCUGUUAAGAAACCUCUUAUAAUUGCCUGGGGAUUUGAGUUCUACAGCUGUUUACUCAGGGUCUACACCAACAAACUCUUGGUGCCGAUUACUGUAUUGUUUGUGUAAAUGUGUGGUGCUAUUUAAGAUACCUUCCUUCACCAGCUUCAUGUGCUUAAUUGGUUUGAUUCCACUGCAAGCUAUUUCAGUUUGUUAUUAUCGUAUAAUGGCGCACCUGGUUAUUGUUUGAAUACGGUGUACUCAGCAGCAUCUUCAACCUUCCUAUCUGCUGUGUAAGCAUCUGCAGCUCAGUGUUGUAUGAUCUGUGUGAGUGACAAGCUCAAGGUGUUGCCUUCUUCUCUCCCCCCCCCCCCCCCUGACCUUGAGGGAGGGUAAUAGCAUCUGUAGCUCAGUGUCAAGUGAGUGAGUGAUAGAGAAGAGUCAAGUCAAGUCAGGUCUGUGGUGUUUGUGUGGAUGUGUUACUAACACGUGCAUCUGUAGUAGUCAUGAAUAUCGUGUGAUGAAUGUUCGAGGAUAUAAACUCAACAAAGUCCUGUAAUCAUCUAUCUAUUCUAUUAUCAAAUAUUGAUUCAAACCGUUUCCAAUACAAUGUAGACAUUCAAUUCAUUUGAAUGUUAUCAUAGGCCUGAUUGGGCAGUUACCCUUGAUGUAAUUUGUUUUAGGAAACACAAAGCAGUGGCAAUUUAUCAAAUAGUUUGUGGCCGUUCGUUUUUUUUUCCAAAUUUAAUCUGAAAUACCUAUAAAAGUGAAAAAGAAAACGUCUUCUAUGUAUCUCAUCAUCACACCAACUCGGCUCCUUUCUCCUUCUCUCCAACAUGUUUAAUGAAAGAAAAACAGCUCCAGAAACUGCUCUCAAGCUUGACGAGAUGAGUGUUAAGACCGAAUCAAAAGCUGAUCAGCUUGGAACUAGGAUUGAGAGCACUGUUGAUCAGCUUUUAACUAGGAUUGAGAGCACUGU